rnacentral:rRNA from 1 species
GCAAGUCGAACGAUCCCUUCGGGGAGAGUGGCGAAAGGGCGAGGAAUAGAAUCGAAUGUACCCCAAGGUGGGGGAUAGCCUCUGGAAACGGAGGGUAAUACCCCAUGUGCUCUACGGAGGAAAGGUUUACCGCCUUGGGAGCAGCGAUUCUCCUAUCAGGUAGUUGGUGAGGUAACGGCUCACCAAGCCGAAGACGGGUAGCGGGUGUGAGAGCAUGACCCGCCGCAUCGGGACUGAGACACUGCCCGGACUCCUACGGGAGGCUGCAGUAACGAAUCUUCCGCAAUGGGCGAAAGCCUGACGGAGCAAUGCCGCGUGUGGGAUGAAGCAUCUUCGAUGUGUAAACCACUGUCAGGGUCUAGGAAUACUGACCAGACCCAAAGGAAGGGCCGGCUAAUUCCGUG